UUAGUUCCUCUGUUUCCCUGUCCUGUGUUGGAUCAUUGUUCAUCUCUCCUGUGUUCUGUGUUCCUGUGUUUUCCCAGCGUUUCCUUUUGGAUUAAGUUUUUGGACAUUUAAUAAAGUCUCCUCUCACCUUCCUGGCGGGUGAUUUUUCGGUGAUACCAGGACAUCUUCUCGUGGGCUGUUGUGGCGAUGAGUUUCUCCAGCUGAGGAGCCUGGCUGAUGAUGGCCUGCUCCAUGGCCUCUCCCUGAGCAAAGAAAAAUACAGAGACACUGAUGAUGACAGGACACAAUACUUCCCUCCGUUAAAUGUUUUGUUCGUCAUGAAAAGAGGUGUUUUUUGAUUGCAGCCUGAAAGUUGAAGGUACUGAUCUUCAGAAGCAGCAGACCUCACCUCCAGAUUCCAGGUCUGUCUCACGUACUCCCUCAGCAUGUUGUCUCUGAGGUUGUCAAACACACCGGGCCGUAUCGGGGUGUCCGGGGAGCGUAGACAUGGUUUCUUCAGGGUGCACACCAGCCCGUCUGGGUCUUUGCUGUAAAACUCACAGAGCUCUGCCGGCCCGCAGUGAGGCUUCCCUCCUGUGAUGCAGUACGUCCCGUUGAGCUGCUUCUCUAUGGGGUAAUGGUGGAACUCCAGGUUCCACACCACAGACAGAACGUAGCCUCCGAGACUGCGCAGACACUGUCGCAGUAAGAAGAGGCCGUCAGACAUCCCGGCCAGCUUCAGAUGCUGCUCGGCGUCUGAGCGGCUGAUGCUGCCGUAGAAGAAAGGCAGCUCGAUAGCCGGGUCGGUGGACAUGGUGGGACCAGGGAGUGGGAAGCUGGAUUUAUGUUUGGAGACCUGUUAUUAAAGUGGAAGAGACAGAAAACAUGAAUCACAAAUCAGGAGAACAUUUCAGAACCUUCGCUGAUUCAAACCCAGUCUGUGACCUCUGACCUUCCAGCAUUAUCACCCUCCAAUCUCUGCUCAAUUCAAAUGAUUCAUCUACAAAACAGUUUCAUUAAGGACAAUAAAACUCUAAGUUUGCUUCUUUUUAAACGUAAAGAACUGAUCACCCUGAGAACCUUACCUUACAGAGAGUUUGUAGUUUUAAAGAGCAAGUUUUCCCUGCUCUACACGGGCAAGCUAUACGCUGCUGUAUGUCUAGAUGAGAGAUUUAGCAAGAAGCACCCACACUUUGUGUCUACAUGUGUGCAGAUUAACAACUGGAGACAACAAAGCCACAACAGGAAGUCACAAUCCGCCCUCACAGCCUCCUUUCUUCCAGAGUCUUGCUCUUCCGUUGAACAGGUGCUGCUGUUCAGUUCUAGAUCAUUCCUAGCUGCGUGUGAAAUUUAAGUUUUUACAUUUCCCUUUUACUUGAGAGGAAUUUUUUUUUAAGGGGAAUUUACUGGACAGUUUGGUUAAAACAAUUUCUGUGCCCAAAAUGUAGAUUAAGUGGGGAGUUUUAGUUUAGAGAAAAGUGUUUGAACUGAAGUGAGGAUGCUGGAUGAGAUUAAAGUAAUCAGAUUUAGGCUUUAGCUUGAAACGGUUAUGUGAUGACAGGUGGAAAAUGCCUGUAGGAGUUCAGAACAGACAUUGAGGGUGAAUCAUAACAACAGAACAAGCAGAGGGGAGAUCAAAGUACAAAGAAAUAAAAAUAAGAUUCCAUAAAUGUCAGUCUUGACCCGGUCUUCUUGUUAGAUUGUAUGUUGAAGGUCAAACAUUUUACAUUAUGGUUAACAAACUUAAAUCAAAGAAAAAAGAAUGGAAACCUCAGCUUCCUGGCUACAUACCUGUGUCUCUGCCCACAUCCACAGUGGACAACUGAGCAAAAACACACAGUGGCCACAACAAAACAAAGACUUCCCCGUGGUCUGACCCCCAUCGAACCAAAACACAGACAGUACUAUGUGGACAAACCAACACAACACCUAUAGGGACAAGCUAUGAUACAGCUGUCUGUUCAGGAUGUUUACAUGAAAGUUAAAGACUGGAUGUUCUCUGUUACUUCCGUAUAAAACUUCAAGCACUCAAGUUACCCCAGACAGAAAUAAUGAACAUCUUUAUUUGAAGUUUAAAGCUACUUUAUAAAACAAGUUUAGGUCUACAGGAUUUUUAAUGUGCUCAUGAAAGACAACAUAAUAUAUCAGUUUUUAAUAAAAUUGGAAAAAAGCACUGAAAUGCUUUAUUUUGCGUGACAAGGUGAUUUAAUGCUUUCCAUAUUUUAAAAACAAAUAGAUGUUAAAAUGUUGGAUGUUAAAUCUUUAAGUGGGCAAAUUUUCAUACAGUGUAAUGUGUUGGAGUAAUCCCAGAAAGAUAUUACAGGCUGCUCCAAAUGUCAGGUUCAAAAAGUCACACGAGAACCAAUCUAUAGGGACACAAGACGUGCUCAACUUGUGACAUCACAGAUUGGGGAUUUUCUUGUUGCUCCUUUCUCAAACUUUCGGGGUCAGAGUCAGGGACUAAAGC